CCCAAGGCCAUUCAGAGCUAACAGGACAAUGUGGUGGUCCCAUAUCCAGGCCCUGCAUCAGACAGACCACCUUUAAGUCCUGGCCCUGUGACUUACCACCUGGGAAUGAGGAGGAAUGAGUACAAGCCACACACUGUAGCAACAGGCACCUACAUUAAAAAGAAACUCACCUUGAAUUUGGUUCAUUAGUCACCAAAGCUUGUGGGAUGUAGUUUCAUAU